AUCAGCUUGAUUGGAGAGGAGAAGGCUGCCAGUGGCCACAGGGGUGCAGCCUGUCCCCUGCAUGGUCCCCACGAUGCAUCAAGAGCUGGGAGCAUCUAGGGGCAAAAUAAGAAAUGAGGCCGGGACUGAGCUCUUCAUUUGCCAAUUUUGACCUGCAAAGCCUGGGGCUGCUUCCCCCUAGCACAGGGGACGGACAGCCUGAAGGACUGUGGGGACAUGCAUCAUGUCAGGUUUCCUUGGGUCCAGGGAGCAGCUCGGCUGACCGGCAGAUGAGGUCAUGGUCACCCCGCUGCUGGCUAACUGCAGCUACUUCUGCCAGCCAGUGGACUACAGAUGGAGAAAGCAUGGAAUGAGGGUAUGGCAGGGAGCAGGAAGCAAGCCUGGAGAGGGUUAGGAGGAACAACUUCAUAACAAUCGGAGGUCAAGGAGGCAUCUUCCUGGAGACAGGAAGGUAGGCACUGUGGAAUCAGCGGUGCGUAGAACAGUGAGGAUUUGGGGCUGAACCCAGCCCAGGUGGGCCAAGCCGUGGCACCAGCCGGACUGCAGUCUGAUGGAACUUCCCCUUCCUGCCCAGCAGAUGGCGAGCGUGUGCUGCUGGUGCCUCUUUCCAAAGGACGUUGAAUUGCUUGACAGGUGUUCUUUACUUUAUGAAUGAAGCCAGAGCAGCCCACCUUCCUGCAUCUCUACCACCAUGGCACCAUGCCCUGUGAUGGGUGGGCUGGAGUCAAAUAUGUAGCAGGCAGCCAGGGUCAGUUUGUGGCCACUGCUGCCCCCUCUUCCUACAGUCUCCUCACUGAGUGCCCCUUCCCUGUUGGGUUCAACACAUCUGUGCUCCUGUAAGCCCUCAGCCUCCUCGUUCUCUUCCUCAACUUCUACCACCAGACACAUCUGAGAAGCAAGCAAGAGAGGCUGAACUAGGAGCAGGACCCAGGGACUGAAACCAGCACAGCAUCCCCACAGAGAAUUGGGUGGAAGGCAGCAUGGCUUCCAGCUUACUGGUGCUGAGCAGAUUGCUCUGGGUCUCCAUUGUAUCCUCUGAAGGAAGGAGGAGGAUUGCCUUCUGUCCAGAUCUCAGGAUCAAACAAAUAGGUCCAAUUUCCUGUGCUCACUUCAGUUAGAGCACUUCUCAUGUGACUUUGUAGCUUUGUGUGCAUCUCCUUCCUCUACUAGACCUAAGCCCCUCACGGGAGGGACUCUCUUAUUCUUGAUGUUCCCCACACCUGGAAUUUCAAUAAACAUCUCAA
rnacentral:lncRNA from 1 species